rnacentral:rRNA from 1 species
UACGAAGGGGGCUAGCGUUGCUCGGAAUUACUGGGCGUAAAGCGCACGUAGGCGGCUUCUUAAGUCGGUGGUGAAAUCCUGGAGCUCAACUCCAGAACUGCCUUCGAUACUGGGAGCUCGAGUCCGGGAGAGGUGAGUGGAACUGCGAGUGUAGAGGUGAAAUCGUAGAUAUUCGCAAGAACACCAGUGGCGAAGGCGGCUCACUGGCCCGGUACUGACGCUGAGACGCGAAACGUGGGGAGCGAACGAG